rnacentral:rRNA from 1 species
GAUGAACGCUGGCGGCGUGCCUAAUACAUGCAAGUCGAGCGAACAGACGAGAGUGCUUGCACUCUCUGACGUUAGCGGCGGCCGGGUGAGUAACACGUGGGUAACCUACCUAUAAGACUGGGAUAACUUCGGGAAACCGGAGCUAAUACCGGAUAAUAUUUAGCUUCGCAUGAAGCAAUAGUGAAAGACGGUUCUGCUGUCACUUAUAGAUGGACCCGCGGUGUAUUAGCUAGUUGGUGAGGUAACGGCUCACCAAGGCAACGAUACAUAGCCGACCUGAGAGGGUGAUCGGCCACACUGGGACUGAGACACGGCCCAGACUCCUACGGGAGGCAGCAGUAGGGAAUCUUCCGCAAUGGACGAAAGUCUGACGGAGCAAUGCCGCGUGAGUGAAGAAGGUUUUCGGAUCGUAAAACUCUGUUGUAAGGGAAGAACAAGUACGUUAGUAACUGAACGAACCUUGACGGUACCUGACCAGAAAGCCACGGCUAACUACGUG